rnacentral:lncRNA from 1 species
UGAAGGAGAAAUAAAAAUGUGUCCAGUACAUGUGGGUUAUAGCUUCUCAGACCAGGGGGUGAGAUUAAAGUCACUGGAGAGUGAGAGAAAGCAUACUGAGAAGAUGGAGCAUGGCCUGGAUCUUCACCCAGGGACUCUGUGUAAUGUGCCUUUUUACCCCAAUGCCUAGAGCCAUUGCACUGUGUCUUAUUUAUUUCACUCUUGGGCUGUCACGUGCACGCUCACAACGAGAAUUGCCUAAGAAUGGAACAGAACUCCCAGGAGUCGAAGAGUGGUUCAUAUGGUACCCCCUGAUCCUCAAAGUGAAGUGGGAACUCUUUAACCCUUUGAGCCCCAACGUAGUUUAGGAUACAGGGAGACGAUUGUAUUAUCCAAGGGAAGACGAGGGAAUUCUUGAGUCGUGUGAUGAGCGUGAUGUGACCACUGGCAAUAAAGGACUUAGUAUGACUCCA